rnacentral:rRNA from 1 species
CAAUAGCGUAUAUUUAAGUUGUUGCAGUUAAAAAGCUCGUAGUUGGAUUUCGGAUGGGAUUUGCCGGUCCGUCGUUACGAUGUGCACUGGCCAGUCCUAUCUUGUUGUCGGGGACCAGCUCCUUGGAUUAACUUCCUGGGACUAGGAGCUGACGAGGUUACUUUGAGUAAAUUAGAGUGUUCAAAGCAAGCCUUCGCUCUGAAUACAUUAGCAUGGAAUAACACAAUAGGACUCUGGCUUAUCUUGUUGGUCUGUGAGACCAGAGUAAUGAUUAAGAGGGACAGUCGGGGACAUUCGUAUUUCAUUGUCAGAGGUGAAAUUCUUGGAUUUAUGAAAGACGAACUUCUGCGAAAGCAUUUGUCAAGGAUGUUUUCAUUAA